rnacentral:rRNA from 1 species
UACGUAGGGUGCAAGCGUUGUCCGGAAUUACUGGGCGUAAAGAGCUCGUAGGCGGGACCGUAAGUCCGAGAGGAAAUCUCAAGGCUCAACUUUGGGGCUUUCUUGGAUACUGCGGUUCUUGAGGAUGAGAGAGGUAAGCAGAAUUCCCGGUGUAGCGGUGAAAUGCGUAGAGAUCGGGAGGAAGGCCGGUGGCGAAGGCGGCGCUCUGGAACGUUUCUGACGCUGAGGCUAGAAAGCGUGGGGAGCAAACAGG